AGUGAACGCUGGCGGUAGGCCUAACACAUGCAAGUCGAACGGCAGCACAGUAAGAGCUUGCUCUUACGGGUGGCGAGUGGCGGACGGGUGAGGAAUACAUCGGAAUCUACUUUUUCGUGGGGGAUAACGUAGGGAAACUUACGCUAAUACCGCAUACGACCUACGGGUGAAAGCAGGGGAUCUUCGGACCUUGCGCGAUUGAAUGAGCCGAUGUCGGAUUAGCUAGUUGGCGGGGUAAAGGCCCACCAAGGCGACGAUCCGUAGCUGGUCUGAGAGGAUGAUCAGCCACACUGGAACUGAGACACGGUCCAGACUCCUACGGGAGGCAGCAGUGGGGAAUACUGGACAAUGGGCGCAAGCCUGAUCCAGCCAUACCGCGUGGGUGAAGAAGGCCUUCGGGUUGUAAAGCCCUUUUGUUGGGAAAGAAAAGCAGCAGGUUAAUACCCCGCUGUCCUGACGGUACCCAAAGAAUAAGCACCGGCUAACUUCGUG
rnacentral:rRNA from 1 species